UGCAUUUAGUGGGCAUGAACUCUCUGUAGUAGGAGGUAGAGUCACCAUAUUCAUGGUAGAGGCAAGUAUGCCCUUUAGUGGGGUUAGAGCUCACAGAGAAGACCGUUUUCUACCGAUGCAGCCACUGCUGCAUUGGUCAUGACCUGGAAAUCUACCGGAGUCCUCCAUAUUCUAUCAUAAUCACAGGCCACUGGGGUUCACAGAGUACCACAUUCAUGUGUAAAGUACCACAAGGGCAAUAGAACCUAGGCAGACAGACCACAGCAAUACCUAUUAGGC